rnacentral:rRNA from 1 species
AUGAACGCUAGCUACAGGCUUAACACAUGCAAGUCGAGGGGCAGCAUGGUCUUAGCUUGCUAAGGCCGAUGGCGACCGGCGCACGGGUGAGUAACACGUAUCCAACCUGCCGUCUACUCUUGGACAGCCUUCUGAAAGGAAGAUUAAUACAAGAUGGCAUCAUGAGUCCGCAUGUUCACAUGAUUAAAGGUAUUCCGGUAGACGAUGGGGAUGCGUUCCAUUAGAUAGUAGGCGGGGUAACGGCCCACCUAGUCUUCGAUGGAUAGGGGUUCUGAGAGGAAGGUCCCCCACAUUGGAACUGAGACACGGUCCAAACUCCUACGGGAGGCAGCAGUGAGGAAUAUUGGUCAAUGGGCGAGAGCCUGAACCAGCCAAGUAGCGUGAAGGAUGACUGCCCUAUGGGUUGUAAACUUCUUUUAUAAAGGAAUAAAGUCGGGUAUGGAUACCCGUUUGCAUGUACUUUAUGAAUAAGGAUCGGCUAACUCCGUGCCAGCAGCCGCGGUAAUACGGAGGAUCCGAGCGUUAUCCGGAUUUAUUGGGUUUAAAGGGAGCGUAGAUGGAUGUUUAAGUCAGUUGUGAAAGUUUGCGGCUCAACCGUAAAAUCGCAGUUGAUACUGGAUAUCUUGAGUGCAGUUGAGGCAGGCGGAAUUCGUGGUGUAGCGGUGAAAUGCUUAGAUAUCACGAAGAACUCCGAUUGCGAAGGCAGCCUGCUAAGCUGCAACUGACAUUGAGGCUCGAAAGUGUGGGUAUCAAACAGGAUUAGAUACCCUGGUAGUCCACACGGUAAACGAUGAAUACUCGCUGUUUGCGAUAUACUGCAAGCGGCCAAGCGAAAGCGUUAAGUAUUCCACCUGGGGAGUACGCCGGCAACGGUGAAACUCAAAGGAAUUGACGGGGGCCCGCACAAGCGGAGGAACAUGUGGUUUAAUUCGAUGAUACGCGAGGAACCUUACCCGGGCUUAAAUUGCAGAUGAAUUACGGUGAAAGCCGUAAGCCGCAAGGCAUCUGUGAAGGUGCUGCAUGGUUGUCGUCAGCUCGUGCCGUGAGGUGUCGGCUUAAGUGCCAUAACGAGCGCAACCCUUGUUGUCAGUUACUAACAGGUUCCGCUGAGGACUCUGACAAGACUGCCAUCGUAAGAUGUGAGGAAGGUGGGGAUGACGUCAAAUCAGCACGGCCCUUACGUCCGGGGCUACACACGUGUUACAGUGGGGGGUACAGAGGGCCGCUACCACGCGAGUGGAUGCCAAUCCCCAAAACCUCUCUCAGUUCGGACUGGAGUCUGCAACCCGACUCCACGAAGCUGGAUUCGCUAGUAAUCGCGCAUCAGCCACGGCGCGGUGAAUACGUUCCCGGGCCUUGUACACACCGCCCGUCAAGCCAUGGGAGCCGGGGGUACCUGAAGUGCGUAACCGCGAGGAGCGCCCUAGGGUAAAACUGGUGACUGGG